CCGUAAGAGAGCUUUGAAUUUUCGUGGCUACACUGGUUCUUCGAGUUUCCUCUAAACGGCGCAGGCUUCAGUUGGCACCGCUUCCCUGGUAUUUCUGGGUGAGAAGUUUUUGAAUUUCUUUUUGUAAUUGUAUUGAGCGUUUGGUGCUUUCUUGUCUUCGUAUGGUUUUUCCCUCUGUCUAUGACGUCUUGUCAUUUAAUGACUG
rnacentral:lncRNA from 1 species